AAGUAAGAAGCAAAUUCAUUGUAAUCAGUUUCGGCCUGAUAGUAAGAUAUUAUAUAUCCUUACUCU
rnacentral:tRNA from 1 species